rnacentral:rRNA from 1 species
UGGGGAAUAUUGCUCAAUGGGCGAAAGCCUGAAGCAGCGACGCCGCGUGAAGGAUGAAGGUCUUCGGAUUGUAAACUUCUUUUACAGGGGACAAACGCCCGCAAGGGUUGAUGGUACUCUGUGAAUAAGCACCGGCCAACUACGUGCCAGCAGCCGCGGUAAUAUGUAGGGUGCAAGCGUUGUUCGGAAUUACUAGGUGUAAAGCGCCUGUAGGUGUCCCGAUAAGUUUCGUGUGAAAUCUUUCCGCUUAACGGAAAAACUGCACGAAAUACUGUCGGGAUUGAGUGCGAGAGAGGAAACUGGAAUUCCCGGUGUAGCAGUGAAAUGCGUAGAUAUCGGGAGGAACACCAAUGGCGAAGGCAGGUUUCUGGCUCGUUACUGACACUGAGAGACGAAAGCGUGGGGAGCAAACAGG